AACACCGAAGCCGAUGGCCUAACCACCUUGUGUGGGGGGAGUCGUCGAAGGUGGGACUGGCGAUUGGGACUAAGUCGUAACAAGGUAGCCGUACCGGAAGGUGCGGCUGGAUCACCUCCUUUCUAAGGA
rnacentral:rRNA from 1 species